rnacentral:tRNA from 1 species
UGCAAAGCUCAGCGGUAGAGUGCUUGCCUGGCAUUCGCAGGGCUCUGGGUUCGAUUCCCAGUGCA